rnacentral:rRNA from 1 species
CAACACUCGCAAUUCGAACGAGCGAGAGAGAGCUUGUUUCUCGAGCGAGUGGCGAACGGGUGAGUAACGCGUGAGGAGCCUGGCUCAAAGAGGGGGACAACAGUUGGAAACGACUGCUAAUACCGCAUAAGCCCACAGCUCGGCAUCGAGCAGAGGGAAAAGGAGCAAUCCGCUUUGAGAUGGCCUCGCGUCCGAUUAGCUAGUUGGUGAGGUAAUGGCCCACCAAGGCGACGAUCGGUAGCCGGACUGAGAGGUUGAACGGCCACAUUGGGACUGAGACACGGCCCAGACUCCUACGGGAGGCAGCAGUGGGGAAUAUUGCACAAUGGGGGAAACCCUGAUGCACCGACGCCGCGUGGAGGAAGAAGGUCUUCGGAUUGUAAACUCCUGUUGUUGAGGAAGAUAAUGACGGUACUCAACAAGGAAGUGACGGCUAACUACGUGCCAGCAGCCGCGGUAAAACGUAGGUCACAAGCGUCGUCCGGAAUUACUGGGUGUAAAGGGAGCGCAGGCGGGAAGACAAGUUGGAACUGAAAUCUAUGGGCUCAACCCCAUACACUGCUUUCAAAAGUGUGUUUCUCGAGUAGUGCCAAGGUAGGCGGAAUUCCCGGUGUAGCGGUGGGAUGCGUAGAUAUCGGGAGGNACACCAGUGGCGAAGGCGGCCUACUGGGCACCAACUGACGCUGAGGCUCGAAAGUGUGGGUAGCAAACAGGAUUAGAUACCCUGGUAGUCCACACCGUAAACGAUGAUUACUAGGUGUUGGAGGAUUGACCCCUUCAGUGCCGCAGUUAACACAAUAAGUAAUCCACCUGGGGAGUACGACCGCAAGGUUGAAACUCAAAGGAAUUGACGGGGGCCCGCACAAGCAGUGGAGUAUGUGGUUUAAUUCGACGCAACGCGAAGAACCUUACCAAGUCUUGACAUCCCUUGACGAACAUAGAAAUAUGUUUUCUCUUCGGAGCAAGGAGACAGGUGGUGCAUGGUUGUCGUCAGCUCGUGUCGUGAGAUGUUGGGUUAAGUCCCGCAACGAGCGCAACCCUUACUGUCAGUUACUACGCAAGAGGACUCUGGCAGGACUGCCGUUGACAAAACGGAGGAAGGUGGGGAUGACGUCAAAUCAUCAUGCCCUUUAUGACUUGGGCUACACACGUACUACAAUGGCGUUAAACAAAGAGAAGCAAGACCGCGAGGUGGAGCAAAACUCAGAAACAACGUCCCAGUUCGGACUGCAGGCUGCAACUCGCCUGCACGAAGUCGGAAUUGCUAGUAAUCGUGGAUCAGCAUGCCACGGUGAAUACGUUCNCCGGGCCUUGUACACACCGCCCGUC